UCCGAGCCAUACCACCCUGAAUGCGCCCGCUCUCGUCUGAUCUUGGAAGCCAAGCAGCAUCAGUCCUGGUUAGUACUUGGAUGGGAAUGUCUCACUUUUGCUCAGGCUGGUCUCCAAC
rnacentral:rRNA from 1 species